rnacentral:misc_RNA from 1 species
UUGGUUCUUCUAGAGUGUCGGUUUUUUGUCCGCCCGAGUGCGGUUCGGGGAAACCUGAUACACCUCGGUCUGAUCACGCCGAUGGGACUCCCCAUGGGCUGCGGAGUGGGCUUCUGCGUCCUUUCGCGGCAAAAGUGGGGGCCGUCUCUGAAAUGUGGUCGUCACCAAUGCCAUUAGUCUCAGAAUGUGAAUAGCAGGCAGCAAUGCCAAUGCAAUCAAUUA